UACGUAGGGGGCAAGCGUUGUCCGGAAUCAUUGGGCGUAAAGAGCGUGUAGGCGGCCAGAUAAGUCCGCUGUGAAAACUCGAGGCUCAACUUCGAGCUGUCGGUGGAAACUAUUUGGCUAGAGUCCGGAAGAGGAGAGUGGAAUUCCUGGUGUAGCGGUGAAAUGCGCAGAUAUCAGGAGGAACACCGGUGGCGAAGGCGGGUCUCUGGGCCGAUACUGACGCUGAGGAGCGAAAGCGUGGGGAGCGAACAGG
rnacentral:rRNA from 1 species